rnacentral:rRNA from 1 species
GGUUUGAACUCAGAUCAUGUAAAAUUUUAAAAGUCGAACAGACUUAAAAUUUUAGCUUCUACACCAAAACUUAAUUUUAAUCCAACAUCGAGGUCGCAAACUUCUUUUUCGAUUAGAACUCUUUAAAGAAAUUACGCUGUUAUCCCUAAGGUAAUUUAAUCUUGUAAUCAUAAAAAAUGGAUCAUAAAAUCAUAAAUUAAUGUUCUAAUUAAAAAAAAAGUUUAUUAAAUUUUUCCAUCACCCCAACAAAAUAAAUUUUAAUAUAAAAAAUUAUAAAAUUCCAAAAAUUUUUAAUAAUAAAAUCUAUAAAACUCUAUAGGGUCUUCUCGUCUUUUAAAAUUAUUUAAGCUUUUUAACUUAAAAAUAAAAUUCUAAUAAAUUUAACUUGAGACAGUAUUUUUCUCGUUCAACCAUUCAUUCCAGCUUUCAAUUAAAAAACUAAUUAUUAUGCUACCUUCGCACGGUGCAAAGUACCGCGGCCAUUAAAAAUUCAGUGGGCAGGUCAGACUUUAAAUUAAAUUCAAAAAGACAUGUUUUUGAUAAACAG